GUAUGCAUGAUCAGGAUUUAUGUGAAAUCUCUGUUAGAACUAUUUGCAUUUUAAAGAGGAAAAAAAGUAAGACAAAGGAAUGAUUCUCCAAUGUUGGAAUUUCAGAUGUCAGGUUCCGGCCACUGCCCGGUCCGCCGGCGCGGCGCCGCGUCGCACCCGGUCUUCUCUGCACCCUGCGCCUUGCACCGGCUCCCUCUCCCGUUCGGGCGUGCUGCCCCAUGUUUAAAGGGGCUUCAAGCUGCCUUAUUUUUACCAGUCUUCAGAAAAUAGUGUGAUUAGUGGGUGUUUUCAGUUUUGAGGAGGGAAGAUCUACCUUCCAAGUUGCAGUGGUGGCCCAGAGAACAGCCUGGUAUGCAGGACCAGGGUGAAGGUGAAGCUGUUCAUAUCACCCCAGGUCUUUGAAGGGGAAGAAAAAGUUCAAGGCAUUUCAUGUUAAAACUUACUGUUUAGGGACAAGCAUUUCUCUCUUUAAAAGCCAGGCAGGCAUUCAUGGCUGUGCUUCAGAAGUGGCUCAGUAGAAAUAAUAAUACCAAUACAUUGCAUCUCUUUUGUGUGUGGGUCAGUGUAUCUUGCCAAGAGGUAACAUCAGCCAGUGGAAUCAGUUGGGCUCUCCGUCUGGCAGAUCUGUCUCUUUCAGCUGCUCCUCCUCCAGUUUCUAGUCUUGGAGUUCAUAUACAGUAAAUCUUUCUCUUAAUAAAGCCGUUUUUCAAAUCUGACUUUUACAGGUGUGAACCGCCAUGCCUAACUAUCUUUGCUACUUUCUAUUGGAAGUGAAGGCAGCCCUGAUUUAGUCUGUUUACAGUCUGCAUUAUGUGGAGAAUAGAGAGCCAUCAUAGUCCCUAAAACUUUCCUUGCCAGUUAACCCUGCAGGACAACCUGUCUUUGUCUCUUGACAACUGUUAACUGAGAACAGGGCCCUUGCUCCUCUAGGUGUGCACUUUAAGGACUUUGCACAGUGUGGAUGUAGCUCAUGCUGCUCUGCCGUCUAGUACAUACUGCUUGAAUUUUCAUCAUCAUCCUCCUCUCCUUCCACCUCCAAGAAAAAAAAAAAGCGUGCAGGAAGUAGCAUUUCAGAUCCUUCUCCACCACCUCUGCUUCCCUUCUCCCUUCUUUUCCUCCUUGCAGCAUUCCCUUUAGUACCAGGGAGGGAUGGUGGUUGAAAAUGGGGGGAAUGAUGUUGCUCAGAAAAAAAAAAAUCCGCCUAGACCUUAAGAGGUGAGGGGAAAGGAAAGAACACUUCAAGCAUAGCCCAGCCCAGGCAUGUCAGCUCCCACCCCAGCCUCCUUGUACCUCCCAUCUCUGAAGGAGGGUGAUGAAUUCGGUUUCCACCAACAUUAAACUGAUAAAUGAAAUUUGUAUGUUAAAACAAUGAUAAUUUAAUUGUAUUUUAUUUCCUUCUUUCCCAUCACAGUCCUCAUGUUUAUUUCAUCUCGCGUGGUGGCUGUCUCGUUUCCCUACCCUCCGAUGUCAUUAACGCACAGAGAGCGGGCCCUGCAGUGUUGAGCCUAAUGAAUUCCGCUGUGGCUGCUCUGCUCCCCACCUCGUUACCAAAGCUCAAGGUGUCAAAUUAAACCCAGCCUAGAGAGAAAGAGAAAGUGCAGAAGAGAAGCAAGAGCAGGGGAAGAGGGAGGUGCAGAGAACACAUAAACAACCCUCCAAAAAGAAGAACAGUUGAAGGUGGGGGGAGAAGAAAGGAGGGGAAUGAGACAGAGAGGAGCCCACAAAUGGGUGACUUUCCUCCUGCGACCAAAUCCACUUUAAGCACGGUGACAUCCA
rnacentral:lncRNA from 1 species